rnacentral:rRNA from 1 species
UACGUAGGCAGCGAGCGUUGUUCGGAGUUACUGGGCGUAAAGGGUGCGUAGGCGGUUGUUUAAGCUUGGUGUGAAAUCUCCCGGCUCAACUGGGAGGGUGCGCCGAAUACUGAAUGACUAGAGUGCGGGAGAGGAUAGUGGAAUUCCUGGUGUAGCGGUGAAAUGCGUAGAUAUCAGGAGGAACACCGGUGGUGUAGACGGCUAUCUGGACCGUAACUGACGCUGAGGCACGAAAGCGUGGGUAGCAAACAGG